rnacentral:rRNA from 1 species
UACGUAGGGUGCAGGCGUUGUCCGGAAUUAUUGGGCGUAAAGGGCGCGUAGGCGGCCACCGCAAGUCGACUGUGAAAUCUCCGGGCCUAACCCGGAAAGGUCAGCCGAUACUGCGGGGCUAGAGUGCAGAAGGGGCAACUGGAAUUCUCGGUGUAGCGGUGAAAUGCGUAGAUAUCGAGAGGAACACCUGCGGCGAAGGCGGGUUGCUGGGCUGACACUGACGCUGAUGCGCGAAAGCUAGGGGAGCGAACGGG